rnacentral:ncRNA from 1 species
AGAAAUACUUUGAAAAAGGAAAGUAACUUAAAUGAAGUUUUAAAGAGAGGAAACCACAGCUGAAAGGUUUCUAAAGGAAUUUUAAGUGAAGUGCCCUUUGGAGUAGUGCACCGAAUUAAGUAGGCUGCACCGGGUUUGCCCGUUAUAGUAAUAGAGCAUAGCGCUGUGCUUGAAAAAGGUGAGAUUUUUGUUAAUCUAAUUAGAGUGGAACCGCGGAGUUAAACUUCGUCUCUUUU